rnacentral:rRNA from 1 species
UACGUAGGGUGCGAGCGUUGUCCGGAAUUAUUGGGCGUAAAGGGCUCGUAGGCGGCUUGUCGCGUCGGGUGUGAAAACUCAGGGCUUAACCCUGAGCCUGCUUCCGAUACGGGCAGACUAGAGGUAUGCAGGGGAGAACGGAAUUCCUGGUGUAGCGGUGAAAUGCGCAGAUAUCAGGAGGAACACCGGUGGCGAAGGCGGUUCUCUGGGCAUUACCUGACGCUGAGGAGCGAAAGUGUGGGGAGCGAACAGG